rnacentral:rRNA from 1 species
GAACUAACAAGGAUUCCCCUAGUAACUGCGAGUGAAGCGGGAAAAGCUCAAAUUUAGAAUCUGGCGGUCUUCGAUCGUCCGAGUUGUAGUCUGGAGAAGCGUCUUCCGCGCUGGACCGUGUACAAGUCUCUUGGAACAGAGCGUCGUAGAGGGUGAGAAUCCCGUCUUUGACACGGACUGCCAGUGCUUUGUGAUGCGCUCUCAAAGAGUCGAGUUGUUUGGGAAUGCAGCUCAAAAUGGGUGGUAAAUUCCAUCUAAAGCUAAAUAUUGGCGAGAGACCGAUAGCGAACAAGUACCGUGAGGGAAAGAUGAAAAGCACUUUGGAAAGAGAGUUAAACAGUACGUGAAAUUGCUGAAAGGGAAACGAUUGAAGUCAGUCGCGUCGUCUAGAACUCAACCUGGCCUCGGCUCGGUGCAUUUUCUAGUUGACGGGCCAGCAUCAGUUUUGACCGUUGGAAAAAGGUCCUUGGAAUGUGGCACCUUCGGGUGUGUUAUAGUCCUUGGGUCGUAUACGACGGUUGGGACUAGAGGACCGCAGCACGCCUUUAUGGCCGGGGUUCGCCCAC